GCUGGGCGUUGUGGUGCACGCCUGUAGUCCCAGCUACCUGGGGGGCUGAGGUAGGAGGAUCACUGGAGUCCAGGAGGUUGAGGCUGCAGUGAGCCAAGAUUGUGCCACUGCACUCCAGCCUGGGUGACAGAGUGGGACCCUGUCUCAA
ensembl:misc_RNA Metazoa_SRP Metazoan signal recognition particle RNA